AACCUAGUUUUCAUUUCUAAACCUGUCCUAGCCGCCACCCCCAAAACUCAACACCACCACCAUCUUCGUUAGCUACAUCUCCCCUCACCCAAAAACAGUGAGACCCUGUCUUCCCUCCCUCACCAUCUUCGACCUCAACUGUCCUACCUGAGCCACGAGGACCCAAGCGCAAAUGUCCGAAUCACCCAGGCCCAUCUCGGCCUCCCUCGUGCGCGACCCCGAAGCUAGGUGACCUGAACCAAGACACGACCCCAACUUAGCCCUCACCAUUUGCUCAAUCUGCUACAAAGAUCUAAAGCCCAUUGUUGAAGAUCUUCAAGCUAUAUCCAUUUGCGGCCAUGUCUUCCACGAGCUAUGGUUGCUUGACCCUUGGAGAGCAUUUGGGUACAUCAAUAUUGAAGCACCGUUGGGCAACGAUGCCUUUUUUUUUUUUUAAUUAUACAUAUAUAUAUAUAUAUAUAUAUAUAUAGGCAAGUUCUUAAGUCCCUCACCGGACUUAGUCCAACAAGUGGGACCCAAAAAAAUUGUCAAGUGUCAAGCUAUUGAAUUAUUUGGUGUUUUUAUUAUUACAUGAUUUUACUUGAUGAGUCGGUGAUGUAAACCGGUUGUAAAAAAAAAUUGAAUUAUGGUCUGAAAAGUAUGGGCAAAAUAGUAAUUUGCAGGUAAAAAAAAGUCUACAGUGGAGGGCAAUAAGGUAAAAUUAGUAUUGUGUUCAAACAUAUUUACGAAAUUGGGAAAGUAAUAUUUAAGAGUCACUUAGUAAUUUUUAAAGGAGUAGUCAUGAAUAAUGUUGCAUGUAAAAGUAAUGAAUUUCCAGUAACUCA